rnacentral:rRNA from 1 species
UACGAAGGGGGCUAGCGUUGCUCGGAAUCACUGGGCGUAAAGCGCACGUAGGCGGAUUGUUAAGUCAGGGGUGAAAUCCUGGAGCUCAACUCCAGAACUGCCUUUGAUACUGGCGAUCUCGAGUCCGGGAGAGGUGAGUGGAACUGCGAGUGUAGAGGUGAAAUUCGUAGAUAUUCGGAAGAACACCAGUGGCGAAGGCGACUUACUGGACAUGUAUUGACGCUGAGGUGCGAAAGCGUGGGGAGCAAACAGGG